UGCCCAAGAAACCUUGUUCAGUCACACCCUCAAGGGAAUUCAGCAGUUAUAAACAUUGAGCCAUGAGUGAAAACUUGACUUAGUUAAGGUUAAAAGGGUCGGUAAAAUUCGUGCCAGCCACCGCGGUUAUACGAAAGACCCUAGUUUAUAGACACGGCGUAAAGGGUGGUUAGGGGACUAAUAAAAUAAAGCCAAAGACCCCCAAAGCCGUCACACGCCCAUGGGGGCACGAAGCCCAAGUACGAAAGUAGCUUUAACAAAUAUACCCGACCCCACGAAAGCUGGGAAACAAACUGGGAUUAGAUACCCCACUAUGCCCAACCUUAAACCUUGAUGAAAGCUUACAAAACCAUCCGCCUGGGGACUACGAGCACAGCUUAAAACCCAAAGGACUUGGCGGUGCCUCAGACCCACCUAGAGGAGCCUGUUCUAGAACCGAUAACCCCCGUUAAACCUCACCACCUCUUGUUUUCCCCGCCUAUAUACCACCGUCGUCAGCUUACCCUGUGAAGGCCCAGCAGUAAGCAAAAUGGGUUCAACCCAAAACGUCAGGUCGAGGUGUAGCGCACGAGAUGGAAAGAAAUGGGUACAUUUUCUACCACAGAACACCACGAAUGGCACCCUGAAACAUGACGCCUGAAGGAGGAUUUAGUAGUAAAAAGCAAAUAGAGUGUCCUUUUGAAUUAGGCUCUGAGGCGCGCACACACCGCCCGUCACUCUCCCC
rnacentral:rRNA from 1 species